rnacentral:snoRNA from 1 species
UGGGGGGGUUAAAGCAGGUGGCCUGAAGAACAGCUUCUCUGUUUACAACACACCCAAGAGGAAUUUAGGGUCACUGUGAGAAGGGGUACAAAAACUUGCAACUUCCCUCUGGGCAAAUGUCCUACACAU